rnacentral:rRNA from 1 species
CCUACGGGUGGCAGCAGUGAGGAAUAUUGGUCAAUGGGCGCGAGCCUGAACCAGCCAAGUCGCGUGAGGGAAGACGGUCCUACGGAUUGUAAACCUCUUUUGUCGGGGAGCAAAAGACGCCACGCGUGGCUUUCCGAGAGUACCCGAAGAAAAAGCAUCGGCUAACUCCGUGCCAGCAGCCGCGGUAAUACGGAGGAUGCGAGCGUUAUCCGGAUUUAUUGGGUUUAAAGGGUGCGCAGGGGGACGAUAAAGUCAGCGGUAAAAUUGGGGGGCUCAACCUAAUAGUGCCGUUGAAACUGGUUUUCUUGAGUGCAUGUGAGGUAGGCGGAAUGCGUGGUGUAGCGGUGAAAUGCAUAGAUAUCACGAAGAACUCCGAUUGCGAAGGCAGCAUACCGGCGCUCAACUGACGCUGAUGCACGAAAGUGUGGGUAUCAAACAGGAUUAGAUACCCGGGUAGUC